rnacentral:tRNA from 1 species
GGGGUUGUGGCUCAGUGGUAGAGUGCUUGCCUAGUGUGUGUGAGGUACUGGGUUCGAAUCCCAGCACCACA